rnacentral:rRNA from 1 species
UGGGGAAUAUUGGGCAAUGGGGGAAACCCUGACCCAGCAACGCCGCGUGAAGGAAGAAGGCUUUCGGGUUGUAAACUUCUUUUACCAGGGACGAAGGACGUGACGGUACCUGGAGAAAAAGCCACGGCUAACUACGUGCCAGCAGCCGCGGUAAAACGUAGGUGGCAAGCGUUGUCCGGAAUUACUGGGUGUAAAGGGAGCGCAGGCGGAAGGACAAGUUGGAAGUGAAACCCACGGGCUCAACCCGUGAACUGCUUUCAAAACUGUUUUCUUGAGUGGUGUAGAGGUAGGCGGAAUUCCCGGUGUAGCGGUGGAAUGCGUAGAUAUCGGGAGGAACACCAGUGGCGAAGGCGGCCUACUGGGCACUAACUGACGCUGAGGCUCGAAAGCAUGGGGU